rnacentral:tRNA from 1 species
GUCUCCAUGGUGCAACGGAUAGCAUAAUGGUCCUCGAAACCACAGAUCCGGGCUCGAAUCCCGGUGGAGGCA